UACAGAGGUGGCAAGCGUUGUUCGGAAUUACUGGGCGUAAAGGGUGCGUAGGCGGCGCGGUAAGUCGGGUGUGAAAUCUCGGAGCUUAACUCCGAAACUGCAUUCGAUACUGCCGUGCUUGAGGACUGGAGAGGAGACUGGAAUUUACGGUGUAGCGGUGAAAUGCGUAGAUAUCGUAAGGAAGACCAGUGGCGAAGGCGGGUCUCUGGACAGUUCCUGACGCUGAGGCACGAAGGCCAGGGGAGCAAACGGG
rnacentral:rRNA from 1 species